rnacentral:rRNA from 1 species
GAUGAACGCUGGCGGCGUGCCUAAUACAUGCAAGUCGAGCGAACGGACGAGAAGCUUGCUUCUCUGAUGUUAGCGGCGGACGGGUGAGUAACACGUGGAUAACCUACCUAUAAGACUGGGAUAACUUCGGGAAACCGGAGCUAAUACCGGAUGAUAUUUUGAAUCGCAUGGUUCAAAAGUGAAAGACGGUCUUGCUGUCACUUAUAGAUGGAUCCGCGCUGCAUUAGCUAGUUGGUAAGGUAACGGCUUACCAAGGCAACGAUGCAUAGCCGACCUGAGAGGGUGAUCGGCCACACUGGGACUGAGACACGGUCCAGACUCCUACGGGAGGCAGCAGUAGGGAAUCUUCCGCAAUGGGCGAAAGCCUGACGGAGCAACGCCGCGUGAGUGAUGAAGGUCUUCGGAUCGUAAAGCUCUGUUGUUAGGGAAGAACAUAUGUGUAAGUAACUGUGCACAUCUUGACGGUACCUAAUCAGAAAGCCACGGCUAACUACGUG